rnacentral:sRNA from 1 species
UUAAAAGAAUAUUGGCAGAAAAACAGCCCUAGAGUUCCAGCAGGAGCGAACAGGAACAGGAAAACAAAUGGCAGUAUCCCUGAGACAGCCACUUCUGGUGGUUGCCAGUCACCUGGGGAUUCAGCAACAGGUUUCCACAGGGAAGGCCCUACAUCAUCUGCUACCCUGAAAGAUCUGGAGAGCCCGUGCCAAGAACGAGCAGUAGUCCUGGAUUCAACGUCCGUAAAAAUCAGUCGACUGAAGAACACCAUCAAAUCUUUGAAACAACAGAAGAAACAAGUGGAACAUCAGCUGGAAGAAGUAACGUGAUUUCGUUUCCUCGCGACAUGACUGCUGGGUUUGGGGGGCACUCAGACAUAGAGGCCCCAGUCUCG